UGGGAUCGAUUUCCAAAUAUCAAUUAUUCGGUUCCCACUUCCCAACUCAAAAACAGGAGCCUUUUCGCCCUCUCUUUCUCUCUCUCAUUAUCUAUCUGCAAUGUCAACCCAGAAAGGUGAAGCCACCUAAACCUUCCUUCAACUCAAUCCAAACCCAAGGCAACACAUCCUUACUCUCUCUCAUUUCUCAUCUUUGGCCCUUCACUCGGUCUCAAAUUCUUUCCAUCUCUCUGUCUCUCGCUUCUCGAAUUCAAAGCUCAACAGCCACCACCCUCUCACAGUCUUACUUUGACGAACUUUCUUCGCUCUGGCCACCACGACCCCUCUCUAUGUGGGGUUUCAUAUAAGGUUAGGGUUUCAAAGUGGGGCUUCAUCCUCACCUCCGAUUCUACCUGUAUUUAUAUCUUUUCUUAUGCAGACUAUGAUGUACCUUUGACAACAAUUCAAACCUUUGUUGUGAGAAUGCAUGUUUAGGAGCUUGCAUCAUUUGUUCUUGUAAGGUUCUGUCUAGUUUACUCGAAAAAGAAAGUUGCUUUGAUUAUAGGUGGAAGUUUCAUGGGGAAAUGUAUGCAUUCUCAAUAAAUGAGAUCAGGAUGCAAAUUUCAUUAUACUUUAUAAAAGUGGCACUGAUCUCCUGGAAUUGAUUCUCUCUGUAAUUGUUUACAGUUUCUCACACAGAAAUACACAUGAGCACAUGCACAGACAGACAUUCUCUCACACUUAUCUUUUGCUUUGCUUCUUACUUUUUUUGUUACUCCUUGAUCAAAUAAGUUGGUGUUAUUGGAAUCUAUAUUUCUUACAUUGCUUUUCCAAUGGAUUCUGUCACCGUAACUUGGUUACCUGACUGCCUGAAAACCCAAAAUUAUUUCAGGAUUCCCGAUCUGUCCAGAAAUC
rnacentral:lncRNA from 1 species